CGGAGGGAUCAUUACUGAGUUUACGCUCUACAACCCUUUGUGAACAUACCUAUAACUGUUGCUUCGGCGGGUAGGGUCUCCGUGACCCUCCCGGCCUCCCGCCCCCGGGCGGGUCGGCGCCCGCCGGAGGAUAACCAAACUCUGAUUUAACGACGUUUCUUCUGAGUGGUACAAGCAAAUAAUCAAAACUUUUAACAACGGAUCUCUUGGUUCUGGCAUCGAUGAAGAACGCAGCGAAAUGCGAUAAGUAAUGUGAAUUGCAGAAUUCAGUGAAUCAUCGAAUCUUUGAACGCACAUUGCGCCCGCCAGCAUUCUGGCGGGCAUGCCUGUUCGAGCGUCAUUUCAACCCUCAAGCUCUGCUUGGUGUUGGGGCCCUACAGCUGAUGUAGGCCCUCAAAGGUAGUGGCGGACCCUCCCGGAGCCUCCUUUGCGUAGUAACUUUACGUCUCGCACUGGGAUCCGGAGGGACUCUUGCCGUAAAACCCCCAAUUUUCCAAAGGUUGACCUCGGAUCAGGUAGGAAUACCCGCUGAACUUAAGCAUAUCAAUAAGCGGAGGAAAAGAAACCAACAGGGAUUGCCUCAGUAACGGCGAGUGAAGCGGCAACAGCUCAAAUUUGAAAUCUGGCCCUAGGCCCGAGUUGUAAUUUGCAGAGGAUGCUUUUUGGUGAGGUGCCUUCCAAGUUCCCUAG
rnacentral:rRNA from 1 species